GUGCCAGCAGCCGCGGUAAUUCCAGCUCCAAUAGCGUAUAUUAAAGUUGUUGUGGUUAAAAAGCUCGUAGUUGGAUCUCGGCGGACUGAGGGCGGUUUGCUUGCUAGUAUUACUGCCCUAUAGUCCGUAGUUUUGCCAGAGGUUUCGGGGUGCUCUUAAUCGAGUGUCCCGGGAUGCUGGCAGGUUUACUUUGAAAAAAUUAGAGUGCUCAAAGCAGGCUAUUACGCCUGAAUAUUCGUGCAUGGAAUAAUAGAAUAGGAAGUCGUUUCUAUUUUGUUGGUUUUCGGAAAUCGACUUAAUGAUUAAUAGGGACAGUCGGGGGCAUUUGUAUUCAAACGACAGAGGUGAAAUUCUUGGACCGUUUGAAGACAAACUACUGCGAAAGCAUUUGCCAAGAAUGUUUUCAUUAAUCAAGAACGAAAGUUAAAGGUUCGAAGGCAAUUAGAUACCGCCCUAGUUUUAACCAUAAACGAUGCCAGCUAGCGAUCUGCGGACGUUUUUUUUGUAGACUCCGCAGGAAGCUUCCGGGAAACCAAAGCAUUUGGGUUCCAGGGGAAGUAUGGUUGCAAAGCUGAAACUUAAAGGAAUUGACGGAAGGGCACCACCAGGAGUGGAGCCUGUGGCUUAAUUUGACUCAACACGGGAAAUCUCACCAGGCCCGGACACUGGAAGGAUUGACAGAUUGAUUGCUCUUUCUUGAUUCGGUGGGUGGUGGUGCAUGGCCGUUCUU
rnacentral:rRNA from 1 species